rnacentral:lncRNA from 1 species
CUCAGGAAGCUUACAAUCAUGGGGAAAGGGGAAGCAAACACAUUGUUCUUCACAUGGCAGCAGAAUGAGAGCUGAGCAAAGGGGGAAGUCCCUUAUAAAACCAUCAGAUCUCAAGAGAACUUACUAUCAGGAGAAUAGAAUGGGAAAACUGCCCCAUGAUUUGAUUACCUCCUACCGAUUCCCUCCCACCACAAGUGGGGAUUAUAGGAACUAUAAUUGAAGGUGAGAUUUGGGUGGGGACACAGCCAAACUAUAUUAAUUGUAUUGCAAAAUACUAAUAAGAAAAUAGGAGAAAUUUGUGUCUUAUUCUGUAUCUAUGUUACACAAAUCAUAAACCUAAAAUUGAGCUAAAAUAUCCUUUUGUCUUAAAGCUACGAAAAUCCAAAAGUAUAAAAACUCUUCCACUGUUGACAAUUUAGAAGAGGUUACAGUCGUACAGGCCAGAGAAUAAGUAUGGUGGGCCAAGCAAAGAGACCAUUGCUAGUCCCUCCCUAUCUCUACCUCUGAGGCUGGAACCAAACUUAAGCAACGGGAGCUCUCCCAAAGGAGUUAAGCAUGCCAAGGCCAGAAAUGAGCAAGGGCAGUAUGACAAAGGACUUUAGAGGUGGUUGGGUCUCCUUGGCUUUCAUUUCAAGGGUACUGCCACCUGUGAAGAUCUCAACACAUGGCUAGGAGGCCAGGGCCCACUCAGUUCAGAUGGCAGCCAUGUUGAUUAUAGGACCAGGGCAUCCAGGGAAAAGAUAAGCAUUUUCCCAGCAUCCUUCAGGCCAGGCAUGGGGUGGGACCUCACUGGGAUCUAGGGCAGGUCAGGAUCCCAUCAGGCCAUGGAAAGAGGUUGGGGUGCUCUUGCAUAACUAGAGAGUACCUUGGCCACCUAGAGGAGGAACUUCCACUGAGGACAUUUUGGUAGCUGGGGAGCCAUGAUUGGCUCCAGCCAGGUACAGUGGAGCCAUCGGGGAGAGGCAGGAACAGUGUAACUGCUGUCACCAUUCCCUUCAAGGGUUGGGAAUGGUGAUGAGAGAUACGAUGUGUUGAUCAGCAUCUGGAGGAUUGAUCCCAGCACUGGGCAAUUUUGAUUCGCCUCAUGCUCCCCGCCCAGCAGGUGCCUGGACUAUUCUCCUAUCAUGGCUCUGGAUUCUGCCAUCCUGCUGCUGCACACGAGAUAAACUGGGAAUUCUGGAAGCUGCCAGCAAAGGUGUUAAAAGCAAACUGCCCAGAGUUCCGUGGCAGCAAGAACAUGCACUUAUCCACAUUCUCAAAGAGUUGCCAGCUCUAGUCCAUGAAGGCUGCAUAGGGUGUAGAUAUUCAUGGUUUCUUCUAGAAGUGUUUUAAUGAAACCAGAAUAUCAUCAGCAAAAAUAACUUACAAAAUUCUCUUGGGGAGCAUCACACCUUCUCUUCCCACCUUAGUUGAGGAUUUCUCAUUGGCUGUCUUCCUUGUUUCACAUCCACUGAUUUGUUUUUCUGCUUUUUGCAUACAAGAGUCUCUGUCAGUCCCUUUAUAAUCCUCCUCCUGUAUUCAUUUGGAAUGCAAUCAGCUCAAAUACUCAAGUGGCAUCUUCACAAAUUUCUCACACACGUGAAUGUAGUCUUUGAAAGGCAAGCUUCAUCUUGAGAAUUACUGUUGCAGCUUGACUUACAACCAUAAUGCCUCCAGCUCCACCCAUGUUAUCGUGAAUGACAUUUUCUUCUUUUUAAAGGCUGUAUAAUGUUCCAAUUUGUAAAUAUAUCACAUUUUCUUUAUCCAUUCAUUCACUGAAGCUCAUUUCAGCAUUACCUGUACGCCUAGCUGCUUAGGAGGCUGAAGUGAGAGGAUUCCUUGAGCCCAGGAUUGUGACACUGCACUCCAGCCU